rnacentral:rRNA from 1 species
CACGUAGGGUCCGAGCGUUGUCCGGAAUUAUUGGGCGUAAAGAGCUCGUAGGCGGUUUGUCGCGUCUGCCGUGAAAGUCCGGGGCUCAACUCCGGAUCUGCGGUGGGUACGGGCAGACUAGAGUGAUGUAGGGGAGACUGGAAUUCCUGGUGUAGCGGUGAAAUGCGCAGAUAUCAGGAGGAACACCAAUGGCGAAGGCAGCUCACUGGGACGGUACUGACGCUGAGACGCGAAAGCGUGGGGAGCAAACAGG